UGCGUAGGCGGUUUUAUAAGUCACUUGUAAAAGAUCUCAGCCCAACUGAGUAAGGCGAGUGAAACUGUAAGACUUGAAUAUGGUAGAGGUAAGUGGAAUUCCAUGUGUAGCGGUGGAAUGCGUAGAUAUAUGGAGGAACACCAAUGGCGAAGGCAACUUACUGGGCCAGAAUUGACGCUGAGGCACGAAAGCGUGGGGAGCAAACAGGAUUAGAUACCCUGGUAGUCC
rnacentral:rRNA from 1 species